GUCUCAUCAAGAAGUUCGAACUAGAAGCCGCAAAUUAUCAAGAUGCUGAAGGUUGCCGCAUUCUUAGUUGUCGGCUACUUUGGGCUUACACACUGUCAAGACUGGUCUGAUUCUUACAUGGAAGCGUAUAGGGAAUCGCAUCGAGGUGAACAUCACAAGGCUAAAGAAGACGAAUUUUUUGACAUGUCGCAAUUUGACUUUCAAUUGGCGACGAUAAAACCAAUUUUCACUGUUGUGUCGGCUAUUGCGAAAAUCCUAUUGAAAGUUGCAGUUUUUAAAAUUAUAGUCAAGUUCGCUGCUAUCGUAUGUCUUCUGUUUUUUAUCCCUUGGGUUAAGCUUCCUGAAAUGGUUCACAAUGAAAUGCCAGAAACAAGGAGUCUAAAACAAAUCUAUUUUGACGAACUUAUUGAUAACCAAACAAAAAAAUUUGAACGAUGAUAGUGAAUAUAUUUUUGAUCUCCAUGAUCCAUGAAAUAAGUUCAAUUUGUGUCACAUGAUGGCCAUCACUGUAAAUAAUAAUUAGUGAAUUAUAGCUACGACCAAAUAAAUAAAUCACUCUAAUGCUAUUUUUCAAGAAAAUAGUGUUUAUACUAGAUAAGUUUUGUUAUUUAAAUGUGCUGACCAGUACAGCUAUCGGUCAUAAAUGUUGAAACAACAAGAAAAUUCUAACUCUU